UAGUUACACCUUGGUCUCAUUAUUUUCUUGAUCUUGCAAAUAUUUUGCCUAGUUAGCAAGAUACAUUUGGUGGGACUGUUUGGAUAUUAUUAUAAUUGAAUUGACAAAUUCUGUUUCAUAAACCUUCACAUUGUGGCAUUACAAAUCCAGCUAUUGUUGGAAGGUCAGUCAUAAACAAACAUGAUGUUCUUUAAAUCCCUUUCAUGGCAUCAAGUUGAUGGAUUCCUCACUCAUGUGUGGUGAUGACUCAUUUUGUAAAUGGUUCUAUUCAAAGAUGAUACAAAAUAUCUUUAAAUAUUUUUGCAAAUGG
rnacentral:misc_RNA from 1 species